rnacentral:rRNA from 1 species
GACGAACGCUGGCGGCGUGCUUAACACAUGCAAGUCGAACGGUAAGGCCCUUCGGGGUACACGAGUGGCGAACGGGUGAGUAGCACGUGGGUGAUCUGCCCUGCACUUCGGGAUAAGCCUGGGAAACUGGGUCUAAUACCGGAUAGGACUCCGGACUGCAUGGUCUGGGGUGGAAAGCUUUUGCGGUGUGGGAUGGGCCCGCGGCCUAUCAGCUUGUUGGUGGGGUGAUGGCCUACCAAGGCGACGACGGGUAGCCGGCCUGAGAGGGUGACCGGCCACACUGGGACUGAGAUACGGCCCAGACUCCUACGGGAGGCGGCAGUGGGGAAUAUUGCACAAUGGGCGCAAGCCUGAUGCAGCGACGCCGCGUGAGGGAUGACGGCCUUCGGGUUGUAAACCUCUUUCAGCAUCGACGAAGCGAAAGUGACGGUAGGUGCAGAAGAAGGACCGGCCAACUACGUGCCAGCAGCCGCCGUAA